rnacentral:rRNA from 1 species
AUUGAACGCUGGCGGCAUGCUUUACACAUGCAAGUCGAACGGUAACAGGGUGCUUGCACCGCUGACGAGUGGCGAACGGGUGAGUAAUGCGUCGGAACGUGCCGAGCAGUGGGGGAUAACGCAGCGAAAGUUGUGCUAAUACCGCAUACGUACUGAGGUAGAAAGUGGGGGACCUUCGGGCCUCACGCUAUUCGAGCGGCCGACGUCUGAUUAGCUAGUAGGUGAGGUAAGAGCUCACCUAGGCGACGAUCAGUAGCGGGUCUGAGAGGAUGAUCCGCCACACUGGGACUGAGACACGGCCCAGACUCCUACGGGAGGCAGCAGUGGGGAAUUUUGGACAAUGGGCGCAAGCCUGAUCCAGCCAUGCCGCGUGUCUGAAGAAGGCCUCCGGGUUGUAAAGGACUUUUGUCAGGGAGGAAAUCCUAGUGGCUAAUAUCCUCGGCUAAUGACGGUACCUGAAGAAUAAGCACCGGCUAACUACGUGCCAGCCGCCGCGGUAACAC